GCGUGAGAAUCAGGGGAACAACGCUGGUUUACGGGCGGAAGGAACCAUUUAAACGCCCAGUAAAUCAGCUUGUCUGUUAGAAAAACGGUUUAUCUUCUGUCGGCGUCAAUGGACGUGAUCCAUGAACAACACAACUCUAUGAGCAACCAAUAAGUACGGCGAAUUAGGCUCAAACGCAUCGCCAGUUCACCUAUGAUGGAACGGGCGAUGGAGCAGCUUAAUGUACAGCUCAGCCGUCUGACCCGCUCCCUCCGCCGGGCCAGAACCGUGGAACUUCCAGAGGACAAUGAGACGGCAGUCUACACACUCAUGCCUAUGGUCAUGGCUGACCAGCACAGGUCUGUGUCAGAGUUGCUCCUCAAUUCCAAGUUUGAUGUGAACUACGCCUUUGGACGAGUAAAGAGAAGCUUGCUACACAUUGCUGCAAACUGUGGGUCAGUGGAGUGUCUGGUUCUGCUGCUGAAGAGAGGAGCCAAUCCAAACUAUCAGGACAUCUCUGGCUGCACCCCUCUGCACCUAGCUGCUAGGAAUGGACAGAAGAAGUGCAUGGGCAAAUUAUUGGAAUAUAAUGCUGAUGUCAAUAUCUGCAACAAUGAGGGCCUGACUGCUAUCCAUUGGUUGGCAGUUAAUGGCAGAACAGAGCUUCUGCAUGAUCUGGUCCAGCAUGUGUCUAAUGUGGAUGUGGAGGAUGCCAUGGGACAAACUGCAUUACAUGUAGCGUGUCAGAAUGGACACAAAACAACGGUGUUGUGUCUUCUGGACAGUGGAGCUGACAUCAACCGACCAAAUGUCUCUGGAGCCACACCUCUGUACUUUGCUUGCAGCCAUGGACAGAGGGACACUGCACAAAUCCUGCUCUCUCGUGGUGCCAAAUACCUUGCUGACAAAAAUGGAAUCACUCCAUUGGAUCUCUGUGUGCAGGGUGGAUAUGGGGAGACCUGUGAGAUCCUCAUCCAGCACCAUGCUAGAUUGUUCCAGAUGCUAAUCCAGAUGACACAGAAUGAGGACGUAAAAGAGAAUAUGCUCAGGCAGGUUUUGGAGCAUGUGUCUCAGCAGAGUGACAGUCACUAUCAGAAGGUUUUGACCAGUCUUGCAGAAGUGGCGACCACUAAUGGACACAAACUUCUCAGUCUGUCCAGUAGUUAUGACGCUCAGAUGAAAAGUCUUCUGAGAAUUGUUCGUAUUUUCUGCCACGUGUUCCGCCUCGGCCCUUCUUCUCCCAACAAUGGCAACGACAUGGGCUACAAUGGGAACAAAACGCCUCGGAGCCAGGUCUUUAAGCCAUUGGAGCUGCUAUGGCAUUCUCUUGAUGAGUGGCUGAUGCUCAUCUCUACAGAGCUGGAAAGAUCCACAAAGAACCCAUCUUCAUCCUCUUCCAGCAGUGAGAUAGCGUCCCUCCUGCUCAAGCAGCGGGAGUCGGACCCCUCCAGCAACACGCCCACGCUCUCCUUGCUGGAAGGAGAAGCGUAUGUUGAUGGGGAGGAUGUGAUCUCCAUGACAGCCAACCGGCUCAGUGCGGUUAUUCAGGCCUUCUACAUGAGCUGUUCCUGUCAAAUGCCACAGGGAAUGACCUCCCCGCGCUUUAUAGAGUUUGUCUGCAAGCAUGACGAGGUGCUGAAAUGUUUUGUAACCAGGAAUCCAAAGAUCAUCUUUAACCAUUUCCAUUUUCUGCUUGAGUGUCCAGAGUUGAUGUCACGUUUUAUGCACAUUAUUAAGAACCAGCCUUUUAAGGAUCGCUGUGAGUGGUUCUACGAGCAUCUGCUGGCUGGCCAGCCAGACUCAGAUAUGGUCCAUCGUCCUGUUAAUGAGAGCGACAUCCUUCUCAUCCACAGAGACUCCAUAUUCAGGAGCAGCUGUGAGAUGGUUUCCAAGUCCACUAAUGAGAAGCUCAAACAGGGUAUAGCUGUCCGCUUUCAUGGUGAGGAAGGCAUGGGCCAGGGUGUGGUUCGGGAGUGGUUUGAUAUCCUGUCUAAUGAAAUCAUCAACCCUGACUACGCUCUGUUCACCCAAUCAGCUGAUGGUACAACCUUCCAGCCCAACAGCAAUUCCUCGGUGAAUCCAGACCAUCUGAACUACUUUCAGUUUGCGGGUCAGAUUUUGGGUCUGGCUCUCUACCACCGGCAGCUGGUCAACAUCUACUUUACCCGCUCCUUCUACAAACACAUACUGGGUAUUCCAGUGAGUUAUCAGGAUGUGUCAUCUAUCGAUCCAGAGUAUGCUAAAAACCUGCAGUGGAUCUUGGAUAAUGACAUCAGUGACUUGGGUCUGGAGCUGACCUUUUCUGUGGAGACAGAUGUGUUUGGAGCCAUGGAGGAAGUGCCACUCAAACCUGGAGGGAGCAGCAUCCUGGUCACUCAAGACAACAAGGCGGAGUACGUCCAGCUGGUGACGGAGCUGAGGAUGACACGAGCCAUCCAGCCUCAGAUAAACGCCUUCUUGCAAGGAUUCCACACCUUCAUCCCCCCGUCGCUCAUCCAGCUUUUUGACGAAUAUGAAUUGGAGCUCCUGCUAUCAGGGAUGCCAGAGAUAGAUGUGGAGGAUUGGUGCAGAAACACUGAGUACACCAGUGGCUAUGACCCUGAAGAUCCUGUGAUCCAGUGGUUUUGGAAGGUGGUGAGGAGGCUCACCCAGGAGGAACGUGUCUUAUUGCUGCAGUUUGUCACUGGAAGUUCCAGGGUUCCUCAUGGUGGCUUUGCCUUUCUGAUGGGUGGCAGUGGUUUGCAGAAGUUCACCAUUGCUGCAGUCCCAUAUACCUCCAACUUGCUGCCUACUUCCAGCACCUGCAUCAACAUGCUGAAACUGCCAGAAUAUCCGAACCAGGAAGUUCUCCGAGACCGACUGCUGGUAGCUCUGCACUGCGGGAGCUAUGGAUACACCAUGGCCUGAACAUGCUGCUGUCAGGGCCUGCAGUUCUGCACAGUUGCUAAUCUCUAACUGAAAUAGAGGUGAAACAUUAAUUCACCUGUUGUGUCUGAAUGGAUCUGAACCGGCUGUGCUCUCCCACAGGAGGAUUACUGGAGCAUAAGAAGGAUUCAAGGACAUUUUCAUUCAGGUGUGUCUGUGUAGAAUUAAACUGUUUCCUCCUCAAACAUAAUUCAGUCAUUCUCCCAACAGCAAUUUAAAAACUCAAUACCACCUACAAAACCAUAUCAGCACUGACUGCUCUGAUCAAACUACAUGUCUACAGUUAAACUUGAAAGCAGGAGGUGCUGUUGCCGCCUACAUUUAGCUCACAAACAUCCACCCAUAAACAGAGUCAAGUCAUGUUCUUGGUUUAUCUCUGGUUGAAAAUCUUGUGGCUGUUUUAAGGAUUUCAUUUCCCUGUGCUGGAGAAAAAGAACUGAACUGUGUUGAUGAGUACAAAGUGUUUUCCAUUUGUCAUCAGCUGCUGGAGCUCUCCCAUCACACCAUGUGAUUGACUGUACAGACUCGGACUGUAUUAGAUGUUUUGCUAUUGCCUUUGUCUGAAAUGAAGACCAAUAUUCUAAGUGAAAGUCUUUUGUUUGUACUUGCCCAAACAUUUGGCUUGCAGUGCCAAAACAGUGAAACCUCUUCCAUCUCUGUUAUUGUUCUUGUUGGUGCAAAAUCCUCCUGAAAAUGAGGAGAAGAUGUGAAUAUGACACAUCCUUGUUUUCUUUCUAAAGGGAAUUAAGACGUCCAUUUAAUAUACCGGUUCAUGUGUUAGUGUUGUUUUCAGUUCUUGCCUGAAAUGCUGAUACAAACUGAGGAUGUUGUAAAAGGAGUCUUUAUAAAUAUUGUACUGUACAUUUCUUCAGCAGAAAAUUCUGUAUUUUACUUUGAAAUACUUGUAAUUAGAUUUCCUGAAAUAAAGGAAAUAAUUUGGCAACAACUCCCUUGAGACAAUAAUUCAACAGAACAGCAGGAACAGAUCGUGUAUUUUAAAAAUGACACUUUAUAAGCAAAGUCUUUGUUGUUCCACAUUGUAGUUUAUUUCAAAAUAAGAUUUAGAUUUUUGAACAUGAAUAUUGCUUAGCUCUGUGUGACGGUAUCGGAUGCAGAGGAAGAGGGUGCUGGAAUAUCACUUACUAAAAGGUGCAUAUAUUCAUAGCAUUGGUCUAUUAUUACAUCUGGAAGGCCGAUAUGUGACAGUGAUUCAGAUUUCAAUUCCCCCAAUUUAUGUUUUAUGUAACUGAGUAUGGUAUAGAGAAAUACACUUCAUUACAUUUUUUUUAAAUAAUCACAUUUUCUGAAUGGUUGAAAGAAGUGAUAUGACUUUCUAUUUCAGCCACAACUUUGAUCAUAAUUCCCUUUCAGCUAAUAAAAAUAUAUUUAAGAUUACAGUGUUGCAUCAGAUCUAUAAAAAAAAUAUUUUUAAUCUGGGAUUAAAAUAUGUUUUUCAUACAUGUUUCAAUCUGACAAUGCAUUCUAAUUUACUGGCUAUAACUAUAUAUCCCUGUGCUUCAGUCGGUUUUAGAAUUAGCUGCAACUUAUAACCUUAAAGUUUCCAAGUUCAUCAAUUUUUCAAAUAAAUUCAUUCAACUGACUUAAUGUAACUUGUCCGUUUAAUCAGUUUCUAAUUUUAAAUGUAAUAGUUAUAAAAUAUUAAACAUGUUUGUGCAGGGGUAUGAUGCAGGCUUUAAAAAUUCAGUCAGAGGUGGGAUGUGUAACUAGUUGAACCUUUACAGAUGUUGGAGUGUAUUUUUCCAGAGCGCAAUCAUAUACCUGUGUUAAUACACACUUCCUGUUCUCAAUAUUCUGUACCGCACCUCUUGCUUCCUUAUCAGCUGGCUUAGUUUUCAUUUUUUCAUACUUUCCACACCUUCUUGACAGAGACAGAUUCACUUCUCCACCUUUUGCCAUGUGGAGUUAUUGCCUCUGCUUUCACACUUGCUGAUUACAUCUGUUCAACACUGUCCUCUGAGGAAUGCACACUGCAGUGGCUCAAAAACACUUUAUUUCCUCAAACCCCCAUCCUGUGCUUUUGCUCCCACUCCCAGUCAUAAUAUAUCCUCUUUAUUCAUUCUCUCAUGUUUACAGCUAACAUGGACACCUGUUCAUAUCAAAUGUUCUUACUGGAGCCAAAAAUUUAGCUGUAGAAAAAAACUGGUGUUCAUAGUUAAGCUGUCUUUAUUAUCUUGUCAUUUUAUGACUUGCCUUAAAUAAAACACUUGAGAAUUUU